rfam:Triticum aestivum genome assembly, contig: Triticum_aestivum_CS42_TGACv1_scaffold_434217_5DL
CUAGUACUCCCUCCGUCCCGAAAUACUUGUCCUAAAAAUGGAUAAAAUGAAUGUAUCUAUAACUAAAAUAAAUCUAGACACAACCAUUUUUAGGACAAGUAUUUCCGGACGGAAGGAGUACUUC